UGGAAAAAUUCAAGAAAAAAGUGUGAAAAUUCAAGGAAACAAGUGAAAAAAAGGUGGUGAGUCCUCUGAUAAAGGCAAGGAAAUUGCAUCCGAGGACCAGUAGUCAGAGUACUUUGAAAAUUCGCACUCUAGACAUUGCUCAGAAUAGACUGUAGAUAGUUGAUCGCAUAGAGAACUACCAUUGGAAUUGCAUUUUCCAAACUGUAGGUUCACAGUCCUCUUUACUUUUGAAUAUUCGAGGGUCCCACUUGUUACUGUAAAUUAAAUUUCAUACUUUAGUUAUCUGUACUACUGUAUAUAGGAAUUUAUUUUAUUUUUAUGUUGUA